rnacentral:rRNA from 1 species
CAGCAGCCCGAGUGGUGAUCGUUUUUAUUGGGCCUAAAGCGUCCGUAGCCGGUCUAGUAAAUCCUUGGAUAAAUCGUGCAGCUUAACUGUACGACUCCCGGGGAGACUGCUAGACUUGGGACUGGGAGAGGUCGGAGGUACUCCAGGGGUAGGGGUGAAAUCCUGUAAUCCUUGGGGGACCACCAAUGGCGAAGGCGUCCGACUAGAACGGGUCCGACGGUAAGGGACGAAGCCCUGGGGCGCGAACCGGAUUAGAGACCCGAGUAGUCC